UUUUUUAAUAUGUUUUUUGCUCCACGCGAGAAACAUGCAUACGUGCGCGGAAUAUAUUAAGCGCGGUUCCUUAUUCUCGACGUUUUCGGCAAGUUUUAGCUUGCGGGUCAUUAUCCACGCGUGUAGGGGCGUCGUUGCGGUGGAAAAGUGGUCGGGUACCGAAAGGGGUCGAGACCGCGGUAAACCUCUAGUUGGUGCGGUAGAGAGGGAGGGGUGGAGACCGUGGUAAACACGACACGUGUACGUUGUUGAGAGAGAGAGUAAGUGGUACGGUGCAGUAUUCGUUAUUAGGAAGCGUUGUCAAAGAGUGCUCGAUCGUGUUUGUGGUGGAGCCGAGAGGCGGGCGCAUAAUGGACGAAGGCGGGGUAAACAUGUCGGAUGCGAUCAUACCAGCACUAAAGCACCGGAUCCAAUCAGAACUUCGAAGUUAAGCGUGCUUGGGCGAGAGUAGUACUAGGAUUGAUCCCAUCAGAACUCCGAAGUUAAGCGUGCUUGUGCGAGAGUAGUACUAGGAUGGGUGACCUCCUGGGAAGUCCUCAUGUUGCAUUCC
rnacentral:rRNA from 1 species